rnacentral:rRNA from 1 species
AUUGAACGCUGGCGGCAUGCCUUACACAUGCAAGUCGAACGGCAGCGCGGACUUCGGUCUGGCGGCGAGUGGCGAACGGGUGAGUAAUACAUCGGAACGUACCCUGUUGUGGGGGAUAACUAGUCGAAAGAUUAGCUAAUACCGCAUACGACCUGAGGGUGAAAGGGGGGGACCGCAAGGCCUCACGCCGCAGGAGCGGGCGCUGUCUGGUUAGCGAGGUGGUGGGGUAAAGGCCCACCGAGGCGACGAUCAGUAGCUGGUCUGAGAGGACGAUCAGCCACACUGGGACUGAGACACGGCCCAGACUCCUACGGGAGGCAGCAGUGGGGAAUUUUGGACAAUGGGGGCAACCCUGAUCCAGCAAUGCCGCGUGUGUGAAGAAGGCCUUCGGGUUGUAAAGCACUUUUGUCCGGAAAGAAAUCGCGCUGGUUAAUACCUGGCGUGGAUGACGGUACCGGAAGAAUAAGCACCGGCUAACUACGUGCCAGCAGCCGCGGUAA